AACUCUCACUGAAGACAAGGAAAAUCGUAUUAGCCAUAAAGUGAAGAUUCAGGAUACAGAUGUCUCUCCAAGAUAAAGUGUUCCAUAAAGUAAUAUUCCCUGACUCUUUCAGGCUACUUAAGCCUGAAGAAAUGCCACUAGGUACCAUAUCAUGAAGAAGAAGAACAAGCUCCCUUCCAGACCAGGGGCUUUCAUUAAUAUCUUCAUUUUAAUGCAUUAUAUUUUGGCACAUGAGCCUCUCUUCCUUGUCUGGAGAGAUUCUCUGCUUCACUCUGAACGGUUCUCCUUACAACUGAUGAACAAUCAGAACACAAAAUAUGCUGCUGGGCAUAGAUCCCAGCUCUGAGGCAGAAGCCAUGUCUCCCUCUGACAAUGUGGGCUGUGGAAGACUAACCUGGUGCUGGACACACAUGAAGCUGAAGCAUGGGCUCCUGUAUCAUCCUCCACCUUCACUGGAUGAUUUACAGUGUCACCUAAUUUAAACUUGCAGGACAGCUGAGAGACUUCAUGCCUAAGGACAAUUACCUUGUAUUGACAAUGACUUAUAUUGAAGAAGCCUUGCUCUGAAGGAAUAAAGAAUUUCUCCAUUGUGCACACGUUCUUGCACAAAAGAUUUAUGUUUAUCUACAAAGUUUAGACUCCAGUAAAUAGGGACUACGCAGUGGAUCUGCCCUUACAAAGGUUUGGUUACUGUGUGAAAAUGUGAGCCUCAUCUAUUGCUUCCUUUUUUGCUGAUUUUCUUUUCACCUCUCAUGAAUUCAGAGAUAAAACAUGUUUUGAACCCUUUUUAGAUAAAGUUGCUUCAUUCCCACAAUUCACCCUCUAUCUCAACUUCUGGAAUUUGCAUGCUUGUUCUAAUUUAUUUAAAUGUAAGCGUCUUUCAGCAUUGUUUUGUUCUGCUCUAUAUUAAAAUGAUUACAAAGAUAUUCAAUUUUCAGAACAGUGCUUAAUCUCAGAG